GAUGAACGCUAGCUACAGGCUUAACACAUGCAAGUCGAGGGGCAGCAUGGUCUUAGCUUGCUAAGGCCGAUGGCGACCGGCGCACGGGUGAGUAACACGUAUCCAACCUGCCGUCUACUCUUGGACAGCCUUCUGAAAGGAAGAUUAAUACAAGAUGGCAUCAUGAGUCCACAUGUUCACAUGAUUAAAGGUAUUCCGGUAGACGAUGGGGAUGCGUUCCAUUAGAUAGUAGGCGGGGUAACGGCCCACCUAGUCUUCGAUGGAUAGGGGUUCUGAGAGGAGGGUCCCCCACAUUGGAACUGAGACACGGUCCAAACUCCUACGGGAGGCAGCAGUGAGGAAUAUUGGUCAAUGGGCGAGAGCCUGAACCAGCCAAGUAGCGUGAAGGAUGACUGCCCUAUGGGUUGUAAACUUCUUUUAAUAAGGGAAUAAAGUGAGUCUCGUGAGACUUUUGCAUGUACCUUAUG
rnacentral:rRNA from 1 species